CACGUAGGCACCAAGCGUUGUCCGGAUUUAUUGGGCGUAAAGAGCUCGUAGGCGGUUCAGUAAGUCGGGUGUGAAAACUCUGGGCUCAACCCAGAGACGCCACCCGAUACUGCUGUGACUUGAGUACGGUAGGGGAGUGGGGAAUUCCUGGUGUAGCGGUGAAAUGCGCAGAUAUCAGGAGGAACACCAGUGGCGAAGGCGACUACCUGGCCUGUUUCUUGACGCUGAGGCGCGAAAGCUAGGGGAGCAAACGGG
rnacentral:rRNA from 1 species